rnacentral:rRNA from 1 species
UACGUAGGGUGCGAGCGUUGUCCGGAAUUAUUGGGCGUAAAGGGCUCGUAGGCGGUUUGUCGCGUCGGGAGUGAAAAUCCAGGGCUUAACUCUGGACUGGCUUUCGAUACGGGCAGACUAGAGGUAUGCAGGGGAGAACGGAAUUCCUGGUGUAGCGGUGAAAUGCGCAGAUAUCAGGAAGAACACCAACGGCGAAGGCAGCUCGCUGGGACGGAACUGACGCUGAGGCGCGAAAGCGUGGGGAGCGAACAGG